CUGAGCAGGUGAUGAUACAAAGUUAUCCCUGUCUGAAAAAGAUCUUUUCACUUGUGGAGUUGUGAUUCUGAAGCUCAG
ensembl:snoRNA small nucleolar RNA, C/D box 1C